rnacentral:rRNA from 1 species
UACGUAGGGGGCAAGCGUUGUCCGGAAUCAUUGGGCGUAAAGAGCGCGUAGGCGGCCCUGUAAGUCCGCUGUGAAAGUCAAGGGCUCAACCCUUGAAUGCCGGUGGAUACUGCAGGGCUAGAGUCCGGAAGAGGAGAGUGGAAUUCCUGGUGUAGCGGUGAAAUGCGCAGAUAUCAGGAGGAACGCCGGUGGCGAAGGCGGGUCUCUGGGCCGAUACUGACGCUGAGGAGCGAAAGCGUGGGGAGCGAACAGG